rnacentral:rRNA from 1 species
CCCGGGUCUUGUACACACCGCCCGUCACACCAUGGGAGCGGGUUCUACCACGAAGUAGCUAGUCUAACCGCAACGGAGGACGGUUACCACGGUAGGAUUCGUGACUGGGGUCG